rnacentral:rRNA from 1 species
ACUCCUACGGGAGGCAGCAGUGGGGAAUAUUGGACAAUGGGCGCAAGCCUGAUCCAGCAAUGCCGCGUGAGUGAUGAAGGCCUUCGGGUUGUAAAGCUCUUUCGCACGCGACGAUGAUGACGGUAGCGUGAGAAGAAGCCCCGGCUAACUUCGUGCCAGCAGCCGCGGUAAU